rnacentral:SRP_RNA from 1 species
GCGACUUCGCCUUUCUGGAUGCGGAGGAGGACCAGCUCGUCGCCCCCCGCAGGGGCCGCUUGCUGACCUUCACGGCGGGACCGGAGAACCUUCACCAGGUCCGGAAGG